rnacentral:snRNA from 1 species
AUACCUUUCUCGGCCUUUUGGCUAAGAUCAAGUGUAGUAUCUGUUCUUGUCAGUUUAGUAUCUGAUAUGUAAUUCAUCGGUUCACACGAUAUUAACUCUAUUUUUUUAGGAGGAAUGUCCAUUAAGGUAGCUUGCUACCUGGACCUUCGCGCGUCGCUUUGGCGUUGCACUACAGCCAAAGCUUAGUGCACCCCAC